UGAGGAAUAUUGGUCAAUGGGCGAGAGCCUGAACCAGCCAAGUCGCGUGAGGGAAGACGGUCCUAUGGAUUGUAAACCUCUUUUGCCGGGGAGCAAAGAGCGGCACGUGUGCCGCGCCGAGAGUACCCGGAGAAAAGCAUCGGCUAACUCCGUGCC
rnacentral:rRNA from 1 species